rnacentral:rRNA from 1 species
UACGUAGGGUGCAAGCGUUAAUCGGAAUUACUGGGCGUAAAGCGUGCGCAGGCGGUCCGUUAAGACAGAUGUGAAAUGCCCGGGCUUAACCUGGGAACUGCAUUUGUGACUGCAUGGCUAGAGUUUGGCAGAGGGGGGUAGAAUUCCACGUGUAGCAGUGAAAUGCGUAGAUAUGUGGAGGAACACCGAUGGCGAAGGCAGCCCCCUGGGUCAAGACUGACGCUCAUGCACGAAAGCGUGGGGAGCAAACAGG